rnacentral:rRNA from 1 species
GACGAACGCUGGCGGCGUGCUUAACACAUGCAAGUCGAACGGAAAGGCCCUGCUUUUGUGGGGUGCUCGAGUGGCGAACGGGUGAGUAACACGUGAGUAACCUGCCCUUGUCUUUGGGAUAACUUCAGGAAACUGGGGCUAAUACCGGAUAGGAGCUCCUGCUGCAUGGUGGGGGUUGGUAAGUUUCGGCGGUUGGGGAAGGACUCGCGGCUUAUCAGCUUCUUGGUGGGGUAGUGGCUUACCAAGGCUUUGACGGGUAGCCGGCCUGAGAGGGUGACCGGCCACAUUGGGACUGAGGUACGGCCCAGACGCCUACGGGAGGCAGCAGUGGAGAAUAUUGCAGAAUGGGCGGAAGCCUGAUGCAGCAACGCCGCGUGCGGGAUGACGGCCUUCGGGUUGUAAACCGCUUUCGCCUGUGACGAAGCGUGAGUGACGGUAAUGGGUAAAGAAGCACCGGCUAACUACGUG